rnacentral:rRNA from 1 species
UACAGAGGGUGCGAGCGUUAAUCGGAAUUACUGGGCGUAAAGCGUGCGUAGACGGUUAUUUAAGUCGGAUGUGAAAGCCCCGGGCUCAACCUGGGAAUUGCAUUCGAGACUGAAUAGCUAGGGUGCGGUAGAGGGAAGCGGAAUUUCCGGUGUAGCGGUGAAAUGCGUAGAUAUCGGGAGGAACAUCAGUGGCGAAGGCGGCCCUCUGGUCCAGUACUGACACUCAAGUGCGAAAGCGUGGGGAGCAAACAGG